rnacentral:rRNA from 1 species
UACGUAGGCAGCAAGCGUUGUUCGGAAUUAUUGGGCGUAAAGCGCGUGUAGGCGGCUUUGCAAGUCGGGUGUGAAAUCCCUCAGCUUAACUGAGGAAGUGCGCCCGAAACUGCCGAGCUUGAGUACCGGAGAGGGUGGCGGAAUUCCCCAAGUAGAGGUGAAAUUCGUAGAUAUGGGGAGGAACACCGGUGGCGAAGGCGGCCACCUGGACGGAUACUGACGCUGAGACGCGAAAGCGUGGGGAGCAAACAGG